UGAGUACGAGAUGCUACGGCAUCGAAGCAGUCUAUGUCAUACUUCCAAGAAAAGCUUGCACUGUCAGAAACAGAUAAUGCCUGUACCAUAACCGACACAGGUGGGUAGGUAGAGUAUACUAAGGGGCGCGAGAUAACUCUCUCUAAGGAACUCGGCAAAAUGACUCCGUAACUUCGGGAGAAGGAGUGCCUUAUUUUUAAGGUUGCAAUAACAAGAUCCAAGCAACUGUUUACCAAAAACACAGGUCUCCGCUAAGUCGUAAGACGAUGUAUGGGGGCUGACGCCUGCCCAGUGCCAGAAGGUUAAAGAAGUCGGUUAGCAUUCGCGAAGCUGGUAACUGAAGCCCUGGUGAACGGCGGCCGUAACAAUAACGGUCCUAAGGUAGCGAAAUUCCUUGUCGGGUAAGUUCCGACCCGCACGAAAGGCGUAAUGAUUUGGAUACUGUCUCGGGGAGGGGCUCGGUGAAAUAGACUUGUCUGUGAAGAUGCGGACUACCUGCACCUGGACAGAAAGACCCUAUGAAGCUUUACUGUAACUUGAAAUUGAAAUUGGACUUUAUUUGCGCAGUAUAGGUGGGAGCGUUGAAAAUAUUCUUGCGGGAAUAUUGGAGCCAUCAGUGAGAUACCACUCUUGUAAUGUUAGAUUUCUAACUUUAUAUCAUUAUCUGGUUAAAGAACAGUUUCAGGCGGGCAGUUUGACUGGGGCGGUCGCCUCCCAAAUGGUAACGGAGGCGCACAAAGGUUUCCUCUGAACGGGUAGAAAUCGUAUCUAGAGUGUAAAGGCAUAAGGAAGCUUGACUGUGAGACCUACAAGUCGAGCAGGGACGAAAGUCGGUCUUAGUGAUCUGACGGUGCUGAGUGGAAAGGCCGUCACUCAACGGAUAAAAGUUACUCUAGGAUAACAGGCUGAUCUCCCCCAAGAGUUCACAUCGACGGGGAGGUUUGGCACCUCGAUGUCGGCUCAUCGCAUCCUGGGGCGGUAGUACGUCCCAAGGGUUGGGCUGUUCGCCCAUGAAAGCGGUACGCGAGCUGGGUUCAGAACGUCGUGAGACAGUUCGGUCCAUAUCCGGUGUAGGCGUUAGAAUAUUGAGAGGAGCCUUCUUUAGUACGAGAGGACCGAGAAGGACAUACCUCUGGUGUACCAGUUAUCGUGCCAACGGUAAACGCUGGGUAGCUAUGUAUGGAGUGGAUAACCGCUGAAAGCAUCUAAGUGGGAAGCCCACCUCAAGAUAAG
rnacentral:rRNA from 1 species